rnacentral:lncRNA from 1 species
UCCCCAACCCAGUCCUGCCAUGGUUUGAUCUAAGGUAAACAGCAGAGUGUGAGCCGACGGAGCAAACACAACAAGAGCGUCAUUGCCAAGCUAUAAACACCUACAUGGCUGAGUCUGAGUUGACUGUGGAGUAAAAGGGAGCAAGAAGAUGAUGGCAACCAGAACAGUCCCUGGCCUGGGAGAAAAGCCCCAUUCCUGAGACACUUUGAUCCCGUUCACUGGGGGCAAUGACCUCUGACUGCAAAUGUGAUAGGAAUUUAUGCACCACCAUCAGCAACAUCCUGUCUACUUGUGAGGUGGUCUUCGGGGGGCAAGAGAUUCUCCUCCUCUGCUUACUUCCUACUUGGAGAUGAAAAUCAGCUUCACAAGUGCAAGGAAACCAUGUGGCCCUUGAGGGAGCCAUCUACGUUGGGAAACUGGCCAAAGAUGAAAGGACCAAGAAGAGAAAAUUCUGGAUCAUUCCUCAACAAGCAUUUAUUGAUUUCUUUUCUGCUACAGUAGUGUGUAAACUACUUAGGAUGAGCAAUAAUGUUGAUAUGCUUUCAUUCUGUGACAGCGAUAGUCAUGCAUGUAUGCUUCAACUGACACUAGGUUGACUCCAAACAUUUAACUUUGACAAGAUGAAACCAAAUUAAGCUGAUUUUCCCUACCUCUAGUUAGUUCUCUUAUUGGUUCAGUGCUAAAUUUUAUGCCAUACACAUAUUUCAUUGCCCUUUUAAUUCUGUGGUUUUUAAGCAUAUAUUUUUCACUAAGGAAAUAUGCAAAAGUUGUAACUCUUAAUGAGCACACUUAAUAAAUAUUAGAAGUAUUGCA